GUGCCAGCAGCCGCGGUAACACGUAGGGGGCGAGCGUUGUUCGGAAUCAUUGGGCGUAAAGGGCGCGCAGGCGGCUGCGGGAGCCCGGCGUGAAAUCCACAGGCCCAACCUGUGGGGGUCGCCGGGGACUCCGCGGCUGGAGUCCAGGAAGCGGUUCAGGAAUUCCCGGUGUAGGGGUGAAAUCUGUAGAUAUCGGGAAGAACACCAAUGGCGAAGGCGUGGGCCGGGCCAUGGACUGACGCUGAGGCGCGAAGGUGCGGGGAGCGAACAGGUUUAGAUACCCUGGUAGUCCGCACAGUAAACGAUGUGCACCAGGUGGCGGGGGGCUGACCCCCGGUACCGGAGCGAACGCAGUAAGUGCACCGCCUGGGGAGUAUGCCCGCAAGGGUGAA
rnacentral:rRNA from 1 species